ACGCAAACCUUCCAGCGUGGCUGGGUCUGGUCGGUGACCCUGAUCAUUCCUGUUGUGUUUGCGAAAGCAACCCGGGACGGUUUGAGGCCUCCCCCCGCUCUCUUUUUUUCGGGGAGAGGUUAUAGAAAUCCCGGACAAGA